UCCAGCGUGGCUCAAUGGCAGAGCAUCCGGCUGUUAACCGGACGGUUGGGGGUUCGAGUCCCUCCGCUGGAG
rfam:Mesotoga prima MPI_scaffold_11355, whole genome shotgun sequence.